GCAGGCUCCAGACGCCGCCAUUUCGCCAAGCCGAGGUCUCUUGGUUGCGGCACUGCUUCUGGCUCGGUGCCUGUAUUUUCUCGGUGCCUACAGCGCCCAGGUCGCCGAUCUGAGGGCUUCGGAGUACCGGCCGGGCGCGGUGGCUCACGCCUGUAAUCCCAGCACUUUGGGAGGCCGAGGCGGGCGGAUCAGGAGGUCAGGAGAUCGAGACCAUCCUGGCUAACACGGAAAUGUAGACUUAGGUGUAACAUGUACCGGUUUAGAUCUGACAGAGAUAUCACAAUUGUAGGAUUGCAUCUUUUAGCAAGGGCUUUGACUCCUGAGUCUAAAAAGGUCACUAACUCCCGCUAAAUUGAGAGCAAUUGAAGCCUCAUCUUCAGAUCUAGGAGAAGAUGAAAAUCAGAAUAAGCUGCAGUCAUGAGACAUGGCGCCAGAAAUUAAGACUAUUCAAACCCUCUAGUCCCAGGGACUAUUGAAGAAGAAGUGGAUAAGGUCUAGAUCUGUCACCCAGGCUGGAGUACAGUGGCAUAGUCCUAGCUCACUGCAACCUCCACCUCCCAGGCUCAAGUGAUCCUACCACCUCAGCCUCCUAAGAAGCUGGGACUAUAGAUGUGCACCAACACGCAUGGCUAAUUUUUGUAUUUUUUGUAGACACCGUGUUUCGCCAUGUUGCCCAGGCUGGUCUCAAACUCCUGAGCUCAAGCAGUCUGCCUGCCUAGACCGCCCAAAGUGCUGAGUUUACAGGUGCGAGCCACCACAGCCAGCCUAUAAAGUAAACGUGAAUAUCUAAGGAACACUGAUGCAAGACCAGCAUGUGGGACCCCAUGUAAGAUUAACAAUGUUUUCAUGGAUCAUUAACCCAUUCUUAUUAAAAAAAUUAUGAAAGAUUAUGAAAA
rnacentral:lncRNA from 1 species